UUCAGUUGUGCCAGUUUAAGAGAGUUUCUCUAUCUCACUUACACACACAGAGACACUGAUUUCUUCUCCUACACUGCUCAAGAAACUAUACUGGAUAUAAAAAAGCUAUGUGAAAUUUAUCGUAUGUAUUUGAGUUUAAGAGGAAGCUUUAAUGGGAAGUUGUGACAACCAGUUGUGACAUUUUUGUCACAGGAUACUAGAACUCCUGGCUCUACAUAAACUGAAAGAAGAAGCAGAAAAGCAAGGCAUCAACCACCAGCCAGUUUUUCAAAAACUUCCAAACUUGGUUAUUUAGUAACUUUGGAUCACUGGUUGACCUGAGGAAUUUCAGACCAUUCUUCCCUUAGAUCAAGUCUGGGCGAGUCUAGAUGUGUGAUCCAGGCAGUGAGAACAAACUAAGACAAGUAGAGGCUGAAGAUGCUUUACUUGAAGAGCGCUCUGAUCAGACAGCUGACUUGCACACUGUCACCUGCUGUCAUGGUCUACACAUAAGUCCCUACUGCAAGGACACUGACCACCGGAAAUUAGCCAUAUGCAGCAUUGUAUGUGGGCUCUCCUGCAUUGGCAUAGUGUCCCUUAUCUACUCUGUCAAGGCUCGAGAGACAAGAAAAACACUUCAAAAUGAAAAUCGAUUGGGAGCACAAGGGAACGUGAAGGUUAAGGAGUACUCAAGAAAAGCUUUGAAAUGGGGAAUAGGGUCCAUUGUGGCCUGGGUGGGUCUAAUUGUAAUCUUUCCAUUACUGCUGGGAUUACUGUCCUAUCUCUUAACCCUCAUAGACUAAGACAGCAGCAUUAUUACUACAGAUGUCUUUAAAAAUGCUAAGCAACCAAUGCAAAUUAACUGUGAGAGAGCAGAAUCAAACUGCCAUGGAUUGUUCACACACUGAACAAUGCACUGAAACCAUCUACAGACUAAACCUGAUAAAAUGGAUUAUUCAUUGUUUAUUUCCAUUUACUUUGGGUUUUAAAUGGUGCUUGCAGUUGUCUUAUUUGGAAAGUGCAAAAAAUUCUAUUGAACUAAGCACUUAAAAUCUCUCUUCUCUAUGACCAUAUUGAUAAGUAUACAACAACAGCACUGCAGUAAGCAAGCAUAUACAGGGUUUCUCAGGAAAAAAAAAAAGAAAAAAAAAAAAGCUACAGUAGUUUUCUCAAAUUUGUUACAUGCAACAGAUAGAAUCAAGCACACAAAGU